GACGAACGCUGGCGGCGUGGAUUAGGCAUGCAAGUCGAACGGUAUAAACCUUUCGGGGUUUAGAGAGUGGCGAACGGGUGAGUAACACGUAGGUAAUCUACCCUCAAAACGGGGACAACCCAGGGAAACUUGGGCUAAUACCGGAUGCGUGCAAGCAAUGUUUUGGCUGUUAAUGCUAUUCACGGAAGUGAGUAGUGUUAAUGGUUGAGAGCAUUAUUUGCAUAAAAGGUGGCAUAUGCUGCCGUUUGAGGAUGAGCUUGCGUCCCAUUAGUUAGUUGGCGGGGUAACGGCCCACCAAGACCGCGAUGGGUAGCCGGCCUGAGAGGGUGGACGGCCACAUUGGGACUGAGAUACGGCCCAGACUCCUACGGGAGGCAGCAGUAGGGAAUUUUGCGCAAUGGACGAAAGUCUGACGCAGCAACGCCGCGUGAGGGAUGACGGCCUCGGUUGUAACUACUGUUGAGUGGAAAAGGUAAGGACAAGUAUUAGUAUGGUACCGAUUCGAGUAAGACACGGCCUAACUAACGUCG
rnacentral:rRNA from 1 species